UGGGGAAUUUUGGACAAUGGGCGAAAGCCUGAUCCAGCAAUGCCGCGUGUGUGAAGAAGGCCUUCGGGUUGUAAAGCACUUUUGUCCGGAAAGAAAUCCUUGGCUCUAAUACAGUCGGGGGAUGACGGUACCGGAAGAAUAAGCACCGGCUAACUACGUGCCAGCAGCCGCGGUAAUACGUAGGGUGCAAGCGUUAAUCGGAAUUACUGGGCGUAAAGCGUGCGCAGGCGGUUUGCUAAGACCGAUGUGAAAUCCCCGGGCUCAACCUGGGAACUGCAUUGGUGACUGGCAGGCUAGAGUAUGGCAGAGGGGGGUAGAAUUCCACGUGUAGCAGUGAAAUGCGUAGAGAUGUGGAGGAAUACCGAUGGCGAAGGCAGCCCCCUGGGCCAAUACUGACGCUCAUGCACGAAAGCGUGGGGGAGCAAACAGGAUUCAGAUACCCUGGUAGUCCACGCCCUAAACGAUGUCAACUAGUUGUUGGGGAUUCAUUUCCUUAGUAACGUAGCUAACGCGUGAAGUUGACCGCCUGGGGAGUACGGUCG
rnacentral:rRNA from 1 species